rnacentral:rRNA from 1 species
CAGCAGCCGCGGGAAAACGUAGGGUGCGAGCGUUAAUCGGAACUACUGGGCGUAAAGCGGGCGCAGACGGUUACUUAAGCAGGAUGUGAAAUCCCCGGGCUCAACCUGGGAACUGCGUUCUGAACUGGGUGACUAGAGUGUGUCAGAGGGAGGUAGAAUUCCACGUGAAGCAGUGAAAUGCGUAGAGAUGUGGAGGAAUACCGAUGGCGAAGGCAGCCUCCUGGGAUAACACUGACGUUCAUGCCCGAAAGCGUUGGUAGCAAACAGGAUUAGAUACCCCGGUAGUCCCUGUCUCUUAUAU